UAAAUUAAAUGAAGCCUCUUUUCAGAAUCUCAUUCAAUUUAGAACUCCCAAAGUUCAACACUCUCAUUUUGAUGAUUCUUUGAUGAUCCUAUCUUUAUCAUGCUCAAUUACCUUGUUGGACAAAAAGUCCAUUGUGUACAAUAAUGAUAUUGUAGCGGGUAUAGUUUAGUGGUAAAAGUGUGAUUCGUUCUAUUAACCUUUUAAUAGUUAAAGGGUCUUUCAGGU
rnacentral:lncRNA from 1 species